AAAUGAAUAGACGGGGGCCCGCACAAGCGGUGGAGCAUGUGGUUUAAUUCGAAGCAACGCGAAGAACCUUACCAGGGCUUGACAUCCCUUGACCGCUGUAGAGAUACAGCUUUCCUUCGGGACAAGGAGACAGGUGGUGCAUGGUUGUCGUCAGCUCGUGUCGUGAGAUGUUGGGUUAAGUCCCGCAACGAGCGCAACCCUUGCCUUUAGUUGCCAUCAUUAAGUUGGGCACUCUAGAGGGACUGCCGGCGAUAAGUCGGAGGAAGGUGGGGAUGACGUCAAAUCAUCAUGCCCCUUAUGUCCUGGGCUACACACGUGCUACAAUGGUCUAUACAGAGGGCAGCGAAGUGGUGACACGGAGCGAAUCCCAGAAAAUAGAUCUCAGUUCGGAUUGUAGGCUGCAACUCGCCUACAUGAAGUCGGAAUCGCUAGUAAUCGCAGGUCAGCAUACUGCGGUGAAUACGUUCCCGGGCCUUGUACACACCGCCCGU
rnacentral:rRNA from 1 species